CAUCGUCAGCGUAUUCAGUAUUAAUACAGGCUAUGAUGUAAUUAUAGAAUCCUUGUUGUCACUCGAUUAUACUUGCUUGUGUUAUUACGCUGGAUAUGUCGGCGUGCACUUCUCUUUUAGUAGAACGUCGCAACCCGUUGAAUGUUUAUCUAUGGCCUAUAAGGUAGCCUUUAGUAUUUUAUUAUACCGAAGACCUGUGGUAACCUGAUAAACUGUUUGACGGUAUCAUUAUGGUAUUGAGCCGCAAAUUAUUUGCGUUAGACUUACCGCAAGCAAGAUUUUUUUCUGGUAGUGCGGAUUUUAUGCCGUCGCUGGAUAAAGUCUACUGUUAGCUGUGUAAUGUUCUUUAACUGGCUUAUUUUACCGGUUAGCGAUGCUACUGCUUUGGGUACUUACAGGA
rnacentral:rRNA from 1 species